rnacentral:rRNA from 1 species
UACAGAGGGGGCAAGCGUUAUUCGGAAUUAUUGGGCGUAAAGGGCGCGUAGGCGGCCUGACAAGUGGAAGGUGAAAUCCCUCGGCUUAACCGAGGAACUGCCCUCCAAACUGUUUGGCUUGAGUCCGGGAGAGGUGAGUGGAAUUCCCAGUGUAGCGGUGAAAUGCGUAGAUAUUGGGAGGAACACCAAUAGCGAAGGCAGCUCGCUGGGACGGUACUGACGCUAAGGCGCGAAAGCGUGGGGAGCGAACAGG